GCCUGGGUGGCUCAGUUGGUUAAGUAUCUGACUUCAGCUCAGGUCAUGAUCUCACGGUUCAUGGGUUCGAGCCCUGUGUCAGGCU
rnacentral:tRNA from 1 species